rnacentral:misc_RNA from 1 species
CGACCUCAAAUUUUUGGGAUAAAGGCUUAAUUGAGUUGAGUUGAGUUUGCUAUUUUAACUGUAGCCUACUAAAUUGUCCUUCACAACAAAUGAACCUGGCAAGCAUUUCCUAGACUAAGGGUACGCUGUAGACAAUCCAGGAUUAUGGUAGAUUAAGCAAAUUGUUGCUAGAAGGACUAAGAUCCUAAAUCGCACACAUACAAUUAGCUUAAUAGCAAGUGUUGUAUUCUACUACUUGGCUGCAAGAGCAUACCACAAGACUAAAAUCAACUUAAGACAACUCACUAUAUUAAAGAGAAUCAGAUUUCAAGUUGAAGUUAGAAAAAUG